ACCAGACCCUGGGUAAUUGAAACCAUAGAAAAUAAAACCACAGAGCAGGGGAACUACUGUAACUAAGAAUGGAAUGGGUUGAUAUAUUGGUAGUUCGUAAAGCUAUAGUGUAGAGUCAUGGAAUAAUGUUAAACAAAAUGAAAGUGAAAGACAGAUAGGACUAGAUGAGGACCUGUCUACCAGCUUUGUGCCAGGUAGAUGGCUUUCUAUGGCAACUUGAGACAAGAGGAAGGUUUAGGACAGAGGUCUCAUGUAGCAAGUUUAUAUUUUUAAAGACCACUCUGGAUUCUGUAUGUAAAAUGGAUUGGCAGAAAAAAAAUAGGUCACACAAAUAUUUGGGGCAGAAACCAUACUUAGUGGAUUGAAGAGUGAAUGGACUUUGAUGAAGUAAAAACAAAGAAAGAAGGUAACUUGAUUAAACUCUGAUGACUCCAAUAUGUGAUUAAUCCUAAUUAAAAAGCUGAGUGGCACUGGGAGUUUGAACUAUAGAUUUGCAUGAGAUGUGGUGUGCAAACCACCCUUCAGGACUCAGAGACCUAUUACCCACCGGCUGGGAGUACUGCUGGCAGAUAGCAUCAGUUGUUAACCUUCUUUGCAAUUAUCUUGGCUGACAAGAGCCAUGACACCUAAAGUCAUCUCCUUCCCAAGAAAGCUUGCCUCUGAUGAAUGGUCAACACUGGGUAUAGAGACCUCAUCACAAUCCAGGACAAAACUAAAGGACCAUCCUAGAGUCAAAGCUUCCUAUAAGGUUGUGAUUCCUCCUUGCUAAUCUCUAUCUCCAAGUUUCCUUGCAGAAGAUUCCAAUCUAUGCCAGGUGGUUCUGGGAAUGAUUCAAGAGAGUACAGACUUAGCAUUUUGAAGCUGAAUCAUCUGUCAACCAAAUAAUGAAAAUUCCAUUACUGAUUGUAAGUGGAAUACAAAUGGUCUUUAACACAAGUCA